rnacentral:lncRNA from 1 species
AGAAGGAACUUGAGCGGUAGCACAGGGUCUUUCUUCUCCGCCUUAACCUUCAGCUCUGGCUCUGCGUCUGCUACUGGCUCCAUCGCCUUCUCCUCCAAGGUGAGCCCCGGCUCUGUCUGCACUGCCUUAACCUUCAGCUCUGGCUCUGCGUCUGCUACUGGCUCCAUCGCCUUCUCCUCCAAGGUGAGCCCUGGCUCUGUCUGCACUGCCUUAACCUUCAGCUCUGGCUCUGCGUCUGCUACUGGCUCCGUCGCCUUCUUCUCCAAGGUGAGCCCCGGCUCUGUCUGCACUGCCUUAACCUUCAGCUCUGGCUCUGCGUCUGCUGCUGGCUCCAUCGCCUUCUCCUCCAAGGUGAGCCCCGACUCUGUCCGCACUGCCUUAACCUUCAGCUCUGGCUCUGCGUCUGCUGCUGGCUCCAUCGCCUUCUCCUCCAAGGUUUGCCCCGGCUCUGUCUUCACCUCCUUAACCUUCAGCUUUGGCUCUCCACCUGCUACUGGCUCCAUCGCCUUCUCCAAGUUGAGCCCGGGCUCUGUCUGCACCGCUUUAUCCUCCAAGGUGGCUGCCGCCUCCAUUUGCAUACUCAGCUUCUCUAUAUCCAUCAUCAGCAAGUUGCGUCCCCACUCAUUCUGCACCGCCUUAUCCUCCAAGGUGGCUGGCACCUCUAUUCCCAUAUGCAGCUUCUCUAUUUCCGUCAUCAGCAAGUCCACCUUAUCCUUACAGAUGGACAUCACAUCCAUUCCCAUAUUCAGCUUCUCCAUUACCAUAUUGAGC